GAACAGGAAGCGGGAGAGAAUCGGAGCCAUUUCUCCGCGCUGACCGAUCUCCACGCCUGCAGCUCCCACCUCCCCGGAAUCUAGGGGACUCCUCUGCUUAGUACUGAGCCAUGCUGGAUAUUUUCAUCCUCAUGUUCUUUGCUAUCAUAGGCCUGGUGGUUCUGUCCUACAUUAUUUACCUGCUCUAGUGGCCUGGAGCUGCGAGGGGGAAGGAUGGAGCUGAAGGGCCGAGCAUCCUGCUUGCUGACGCACCGGUGGAUUUUUGCUUCUGGUCAUUAUUCGGCUCCUGUGUCGGGGCCAGCAAGAGGCCUCUUACCACCAGCAGCAAUCCUGAGGCCCAACUGACUUCUUCCAGUGUAUCCAGAUGUGGCUGACACUUGGCACGCAGGCAUUCUGGGAGGCAGGGGCACUCCUGGGACACCGGGAGUCCAAGAACGUCAGCCAUUGGCAGCUGCUGCAUGCGAUUGAGCUAUAGACAGGGGGUGUUGAGAAUAUGGAAGGUUGGGGUGGUGAAGUCAGAGUGGAGAAUGCCCAAACAUUCAUACGGGCAGCCUUUCCUUAGGUCUAAGUGCACCUGCACAGGAUGCUAAAAUGUUCCUCCUUCCUUUCUGCUUCAUAAGCAGGCGUUCCCUUGUAAACUCAAGGGCAAACUCCCGAUCGGUGAUUUACAGUGUGUACAGCCUGAGGUUGUGUGGUUUCCCUUGUUCUACAGCCUACUCCCACCCUCAAAAUUCCUGAUAUUUGCAUUCUUUACGGUUUAUCAUCUCUUCCCUCCUUUUCCCACUUGUUCCCAGCUCCUUAGUUGAAUAGAGGCGCAUGGUCAUGAAGUCCUUAUUCUUUGUGCACUUCCCUAUAAAGUGUUGAAGCAAAAUGGCUAUAUUAAUUUAGGAGAAAAAAAUUUAUCCUAAAUGGAAGGGUUCAGAAACUUUUUAAAAAAAAUUUAAAUGUUCCUUUAUCUUUAAAAAAAAAAAACAAAGCUGUUAUUUCCUUGUCCAGUUAGGGUUGAAAAAAACUGUGUUUUAGGAUACAGUGGAUUUGAUCCCAAAUCUGUGGUAUCUAUUAUUCCCUUGAAGACUCUGUCAUAAUUGUUCUGCAUUGAUUUUCUUUUUUAGGUUAGAAUAAACAAGGAAAAAGAUUGAAUGAA